GGGGGCGAAACGGUUUCGACGGGAAUCGUGAAACUCGAGAGGCAUGCCGAGGUGGUCGCGUCCCUCGUUAAACACGUGACAAACAAUCAACUGCCAACACUGAAUUGGCCCUCGCUGCUUAAUUAAUUAAGUAGCGCGCUCCCCCCCGUGAGCCCGCGCUCGGGGACGGAGCGUCGACUUUGCGGGAUAAGUUCCGGGAACGCCCGCGCCUGGAAACGAAAACUCAGGGCUGGCCGGCCUUUGCUCUUGCGCAUUCAUGAGAAGGCGGGUGACAUUUUCCGGCGGCGGCGCAGGCCGUCGCGGGAGAAAUGAAUGCGCUAAGCAUGUAGGCUCUUGAAGCGGAUCAUUUUCGGACGCGGGUUCGACUCCCGCCGCCUCCACCA
rnacentral:tmRNA from 1 species